UUUUUUCCAGUUUUGCCUUUUAUUAUUUAAUUUUCUUAAGAGUUAACCUCCAUUGUUUCAUUCAAUCUCUUCAAUGUAAAUUUGGUAUGUUAACUAGAGUCAAGUUUUUUUGUUCUUUUUUAAAAUUGAUUUUUUUUUUCAAAUUGUCCUUCAACAUUUGCUUUCAACAUUUGCUUUCCUAGUUAUUGAGCUUUAAAUUUCUUUUAUUUUUUCUCUCU
rnacentral:lncRNA from 1 species